rnacentral:rRNA from 1 species
GAUGAACGCUAGCGGCAGGCUUAAUACAUGCAAGUCGAGGGAAAAGUAGUUUUCGGACUAUGAAGACCGGCGCACGGGUGCGUAACGCGUACACAACAUACCUAAUACUGGAGCAUAGCCUCGGGAAACUGGGGAGUAAUUCUCCAUAGCAUUUUAGAGUGGCAUCACUUUGAAAUUAAAGCUCAGGCGGUAUUAGAUUGGUGUGCGUAUGAUUAGUUUGUUGGUAGGGUAAUGGCCUACCAAGACUACGAUCAUUAGCUGGCGUGAGAGCGCGACCAGCCACACUGGAACUGAGACACGGUCCAGACUCCUACGGGAGGCAGCAGUAGGGAAUAUUGGACAAUGGGCGAAAGCCUGAUCCAGCCAUGCCGCGUGGUAGAUGAAGG